GGUGAGUAACACGUGGGUAACCUGCCUGUAAGACUGGGAUAACUCCGGGAAACCGGGGCUAAUACCGGAUGGUUGUUUGAACCGCAUGGUUCAAACAUAAAAGGUGGCUUCGGCUACCACUUACAGAUGGACCCGCGGCGCAUUAGCUAGUUGGUGAGGUAAUGGCUCACCAAGGCAACGAUGCGUAGCCGACCUGAGAGGGUGAUCGGCCACACUGGGACUGAGACACGGCCCAGACUCCUACGGGAGGCAGCAGUAGGGAAUCUUCCGCAAUGGACGAAAGUCUGACGGAGCAACGCCGCGUGAGUGAUGAAGGUUUUCGGAUCGUAAAGCUCUGUUGUUAGGGAAGAACAAGUACCGUUCGAAUAGGGCGGCACCUCGACGGUACCUAACCAGAAAGCCACGGCUAACUACGUGCCAGCAGCCGCGGUAAUACGUAGGUGGCAAGCGUUGUCCGGAAUUAUUGGGCGUAAAGGGCUCGCAGGCGGUUUCUUAAGUCUGAUGUGAAAGCCCCCGGCUCAACCGGGGAGGGUCAUUGGAAACUGGGGAACUUGAGUGCANAANAGGAGAGUGGAAUUCCACGUGUAGCGGUGAAAUGCGUANAGAUGUGGAGGAACACCAGUGGCGAANGCGACUCUCUGGUCUGUAACUGACGCUGAGGAGCGAAAGCGUGNGGGAGCGAACAGGANUAGAUACCCUGGUAGUCCACGCC
rnacentral:rRNA from 1 species